GCUCGUCGACUUAGGAGUGGUUGGAGCAAAAGAAACAGAUGUGGCCUCAAUAAUUUCAAACCAAUCUUGAAUUCACGUGUAUGAAGUAGAAACAAAACAAAAAGCUAAUGUUAUACACAACAGAGUUUGAGUUGGUGAGGGUUUAGCUCCGGUUGGCUCAGCUUUGUCUUAGUUCUGGAUUUACCUCACCCUUCAGAUCGAAAUGAUGUCGGUGGUUGUGGCCUGCACGUCUCCGGCUCUGCUCAAAUAAUCUCAGCAGCACAGUGUUUGUUGCUAGAUGACGGUUAACGACUCAGGUUGGUUCGUGGUUUGUUAGUUAGGCCCCAGGUUCAGAGUGUGGCUUCGGAUUUGUCUCCUCUGUUAGAAAUUGAAGAACAUAGUGAAGAACAAGAGAGAGAUGUUUAAUCUAAAAAGUAGAGAGAGAUAGAGUAAAUAAGGAGAAUCUUAUUUGCUUAAUUAAUUUUCUUAUGGGAACAUUCCAUAUAUAUAGGGGUUACAAGUAUGGCAAAUGGUAGAUGAGAUAUGAUAAACUAAUAAUCCAUUGUCUUGAGACUUUAACCCACCAUACAUGCUUGUCCCUUGUAGUGGCAUCUCCAUUGUCUUGAGACCUUAACCCACCAUGCAUGCUUGUCCCUUGUAGUGGCAUCUCCAUUGUCUUGAGACCUUAACCAACCAUGCAUGCUUGCCUCUUGUAGUGGUAUCUCCAUUGUCUUGAGACCUUAACCAACCAUCAUGCUUGCCUCUUAGGGUAUCUCAUUGUUUGAGACCUUAACCAACCAUCUUGUUUCUUAUUGCUUCAUCUUCACACUCCCCCUCAAGCUUGACCAUAGGGACUGGUCAAACUUGGAAACCAUGAAGCAUUCCCUCAUUAAAACCUUUAGCUUGGAAAAACCUCAUGGGAUAAAAACCAAGCCAAGGAAAAAGAGUAGAACACUUCAUGGCUAAGAGGAUUAGUGUGAUGAAAAAUCUACGAGUCCUAACUUGGAAUGUAUGAACUCGCAAACCUUGGUGCUUGCAGCCUUGGUAAAGAUGUCAGCUAGUUGAUCCUCACUUCUUGUGUAGCAGGGUAAGAUGAUCUUUUGUUACACUGCUUGCCUAACUUUAUGACAAUCCACCUCAAUGUGUUUAGUCCUCUCAUGGAACACACUGUUGGAAGCUAUGUGUAUUGCUGCUUGAUUAUCACAAUGCAUGGUGAUUGGAGUUGAUGUCUUUAUACCCAAGUCUCAAAGUAGGUUUCUGAUCCAAAUCAACUCACUAGUGAGCUUCCUCAUCGCCCUAUAUUCAGCUUCGGCACUUGAGCAUGACACUAUCUUCUGUUUCUUGCUCUUCCAAGUGACAAGAUUGCCUCCAAUAAAUGUACAAUAGCCGGUAGUGGAUCUCCUAUCCACUCUGUCUCCUGCCCAAUCAGCAUCACAAUACCCAACUAUCUCUGUAUUUUUGUUGCAUCCCAUCCACACUCCUUGCCCUGGCGCCUCUCUUAGGUAUCUUAGGAUCCUUUCAACCAUGUUCCAAUGGUGUAUCUUGGGAGCUUGCAUAUUCUGGCUUACUUGGUUAACUGCAAAGCAUACAUCAGGCCUGGUGAUGGUGAGGUAUAUCAGCUUUCCUACAAUUCUUCUAUAGUGUUUAACGUCAGUAUAGGGCUUGUCUUCAAUCUCCCCCUCACGCAUCACCUUAUACCCAUCUUCUAGUGGAGUCUUGGCUACUUUCGCUCCAAGAUUUCCUGCCUCAUUCAAAAGAUCAAGUGUGUACUUCCUUUGAGAUAAGAAAAGCCCCUCUUUAGAGCGGCAUAUUUCUAUCCCUAGAAAGUACUUUAGCUCACUCAAAUCUUUAAUAUCAAAAGUAGACUUAAGAAAGACUUUGGUUGAGAUAAUACCUUCUUUGUCACUUCCUGUGAUGAUAAUAUCAUCUACAUAAAUAAGAAUCACCACAAUUCCUUGCUUGCUUCUGAGUGUGAAGAGUGUAUGAUCAGCUUCUGACUUUACAAACCCUUUUCCAUUGAGAGUUGUACUCAGUUUGUGGUACCAAGCCCUUGGUGACUGUUUUAACCCAUAUAUUGCUUUCUUCAACCUUAGGACAUUCCCUGGCUUGACCAUGUCUUCCAUACCCGGAGGUGGCCUCAUGUAAACCUCAUCCUCCAGCUCUCCUUGAAGAAAAGCAUUUUUGACAUCCAUCUGCCAUAAAUCCCAUUCCAAGUUCACUGCCAAUGAGAGUAGAAUUCUUAUGGUGUGGAGUUUAGCUACUGGUGCAAAUGUAUCCAGAUAGUCUUCUCCAUAGACUUGGGUGUAUCCUCUUGCAACUAGCCUUGUUUUCUUUCUUUCUGGUUUCCCAUUGGCAAGGUACUUGAUGGUGAAGAGUAGACGGCUUGUAACAGCUUUCUUUCCUUUGGGGAGCUCAGUUUCAUACCAAGUAUCAUUCUUGAUCAUGGCACCAACUUCAUCCCCAACUGACGCUCUCCACUCUUCAUGCUUCAUGGCUUCUUCAUAAGUCUUUGGUACAUACUCUUGAUCUAGGUUGCUGAUGAAGACUACAUGCUCUUCAGAUAGUCUCGCAAAAGAACAUGUUGCUUGGAUAGGAUGAGCUACUGCAUUGUUGUUGAAGUAUACUUUGGUGUCCAUCCACUGAGAUGGUUUCUUCACCCUUGUGCUCCUCCUUAAUGGUUGAACUUCUUGUUGCAUUCCAUCUUGAUCAUUAACAACUUCUUCUUGGAUAGCUUCUUCUUGGAUAGCUUCCUCGUGGAUAGCUUCGUCAUGGAUAUCUUCUUCAGGGAUAGCUUCCUCAUGGAUAACUUGCAAAUUAGGUUGGUUUCCCCCCUCAUGAUCAGGAUGGACUGCUUCUUCAAUUGAUGUAGCUUCAUCCACAACUGGAGGUAUAUGUGAAGUGCUCGGUAUGCCACUUAUUUGAGGCUGGUUGAUGCCUAGGUUUUCCAGAAUGAUUCUCAAGUUGUUUGCCCUAUCUGAAGAUCCUUGUGAGAGAUCCUGAAGGCUUUCCCAACUCUUCUCAUCAUAGUAUCCCUUUGAUUCCACAAACUUAACAUCCCUUGAGACCAUAACUCUUCUUGAUUCAGGUAUGUAGCACUUGUACCCCUUCUGCGCAUGAGUAUAUCCUAUGAACAUGCCUUUGACACUCUUGGCUUCAAGCUUGUUUCUCUGUUCCCCUGGUAUCAAGACAUAGCACACACACCCAAAAACACGCAAGUGAUCAAUUGGAGGUUUUAUUUUGUUUAAUACCUGAAAGGGAGAGUUAUCUUGGAGGACUUUGGUGGGGAUCCUGUUGAUCAAAUAACAUGCUGAGACCACAGCAUCUCCCCAGAACCUCUUUGGAACAUUGGUAUGGAACAUCAUGCUCCUUGCAACCUCCAUAAGAUGGCGAUUCUUCCUUUCAGCAACUCCAUUUUGUUGUGGUGUGUAUGGGCAACUUGUUUGAUGGAUUAUGCCAUGUUUUGCUAAGUGAUGUUUGAAAGCAGUGCUUGUAUAUUCUCCGCCAUUAUCAGACCUAAAAAUUUUGAUCUUGGAAUUGAAAUGGUUAGAUACAUAGUUUUGGAAGUUAAUAAAAGCUUCUAAAACUCUAUCUUUAGUUUGAAUCAAGGUGAGCCAUGUAUAUUUUGAUUUUUCAUCUAUGAAUGUAACAAAAUAUUUAUGGUUCUCCCUAGACAUACAAGGUGCUGUCCAAACAUCAGAGUGCACAAGAUCAAAGCAAUUUUCAUAAAUAGUCUUAAAAUUAGGAAAAACAGAUCUCUGAUGUUUACCAAGAAUGCAAGCCUCACAACUUCCACUCUUUAAAGAUAGAUUAGGUAACAUCAGUCCUAAGGCACGAUAAUGAGGAUGACCUAAUCUAGCAUGCCAUAAAACAUCACUAGCUAACACAGAAGCAGAAUUGAAAGCACAAGAUAAAUUUGAAAGCUUGGUGUUUUCAAGCAAGUAAAGCUCUCCCUUGCUCACACACUUUCCCAGCAUCUUCCUGGUCUUAAUAUCCUGAAAGCACAUAUCAUUAGGACUGAAAAUAACAUUGCAAUUUAGAUCAUUGGUUGCUCUCUUAACAGAUAAUAAGUUGGAUGUGAAAGUAGGCAUAUAAAAAGCUUGAGACUCCUUAUCAAACAGUUUCAAGUUUCCUACUCCUUCAAUUGGAAUUCUAUCACCAUUAGCAAUCACUACACUUCCUAGAGCAGGUUUAACAUCACUAAUCAGUCUAGCAUCCCUAAUCAUAUGAUGAGAAGCUCCCGAAUCGAUGAUCAAAGGUCUAGUAGUAUGUGAAGCACUGUGAAUAGAAUUUAAAGCAUUGACACUGAUGUUACCAGAGUUUGCAUUGAUAGCUUUGAUAAGGGCUUCAAUGUCUGACUUGCGGAUGAAGGCAUCAUCAGGGGAUGGCUGGGACAUGGCAUGGGAUGUGGAUCCACCAGUGUGGGUGGUUGAGAUCAUAGCUCUUCCAUCUUCUCCUAUGCGCAUGGAGCCUGGUACUGUGGUUUCAUGAGCUCUUGCUUCAUGUGCUUUGGCCUGGUUGUAUCUGUUGGUUGAAGCAGGUCUGAGGUGAGGAUGGAAGAUCCAACAAUUGGUUUUGGAGUGGCCUAGAUUCUUGCAGUGCUCACAAGUCACAGACUUGUCUCCUCCUCUUCUUGGUUUGAAGUGUGCUUUGUUGACUGAAGCACUCUCCAUCUUCUCAGCUUUGUUUGCCAUAGACAGUUCCCCUUUUCCACCAAAGAGACCAUCUGAGCCUAGCUCCUUCCGAAGUUGAGCACACACAUCAUCAUAGCUUGGAAGCUCUUUAGCUCUCAAUAUGUGUUUAAGUACAUCAUUGAAGCUUGGGUUGAGUGUGAGAAGCAAUCCAAAGACCUUGUCUUGCUCACGCCUCUCUUCUAGUGUACUAGGAUCAGUGGUACUUGGUCUCAGCAUCUCAAGUUCAGACCACAGCUGGCUGUACUUCCCAAGGUGCUUGGUGAAGUCCAUCUCCUCUUGCUGUAAGUUGUUGAUUGCCCUCUUAACCUCAAAAAUUCUGGUGAGGUUUGAAGUGUUGCCAUAUACCUUGUGUAAGGUAUCCCAUAGCUUCUUUGCAGUCUCACAAUGUGAGUAAGACUCCAUGAUAGGAGUAUCAAGUGAGCCUUGCAAGAUAGACAGCACCAUGAGAUCCUCCUGACCCCAUUUGCCUUCAUCUACCACUACAACCUCCUUGCCAUCUUCUCCUUGGGUGAUUUGUCUUGGGGCCUCACUUGUGGUGAUGUGCUCCCAUAGACCUCUUCCUCCAAGAGCUGUCCUGGUCAAUCUCGACCAGGUAAUGUAGUUAGGACCUUUCAGGAUGACUGGAAUCCUAACUAGCUUGUGCUGCUCCAUCUUUGCUUGCUAUUGUCCAACGGGUAAAAAAUAAAAAAUUUGCCAAGGAGAAAUUUGAAUUUCUGAGGCUAGGCAAGAGAGAAAACAAGGGAAGCCAAUAUAUGUUCUCUAGAAAUGAAGAAAGUAAACCAAACAAGUGAAAGAGUAAGGUGAAUAGAGUAAAUUUGCGGAAGCAGUUUGGUGUUCAAGAGCUUGGAUGCUCUGAUACCAUGUUAGAAAUUGAAGAACAUAGUGAAGAACAAGAGAGAGAGAUGUUUAAUCUAGAAAGUAGAGAGAGAUAGAGUAAAUAAGGAGAAUCUUAUUUGCUUAAUUAAUUUCCUUAUGGGAACAUCCCAUAUAUAUAGGGGUUACAAGUAUGGCAAAUGGUAGAUGAGAUAUGAUAAACUAAUAAUCCAUUGUCUUGAGACUUUAACCCACCAUACAUGCUUGUCCCUUGUAGUGGCAUCUCCAUUGUCUUGAGACCUUAACCCACCAUGCAUGCUUGUCCCUUGUAGUGGCAUCUCCAUUGUCUUGAGACCUUAACCAACCAUGCAUGCUUGUCUCUUGUAGUGGUAUCUCCAUUGUCUUGAGACCUUAACCAACCAUCUUGUUUCUUAUUGCUUCAUCUUCACAUCCUCUGGAAGGGUUGUAUGUAUUUCGAUCUUGUCCUCUCGUAUGAGGAUACAGUUAGAUGGGUGUAUACGGUUCCAGUGGACUGCAAAGGAUGCGGUAAUCUCCGGCGCAAAAUACUGAACGACAACAUCGUCGGAUUACGGUUUCUCUUCGUACCGCUGAUAGACCAUGGAUUUGACCCACUUUUACCCAUGGUUUAUAAGUGUUUUAACUAUUAACUAUUAUAUUAUAGAGUCUAUUUAGUAUAUUUAUAGGAUCAUGAGUGAUUUGGAGAUAAAUGAUGAUUUUGGAGCAUUUUAGAGAUUUUUGGAGUAAGCACCCGAGAUGACCAUCGGUCGAUAUUGAAACGGAAUAAUCGAUCGAUGUUAACGUCUUGACAUCGAUCUAAAGCGAAGCCCAAAUCUUCACCAAGCUACUUGUUUUCUAUGUUGUCUGUCAAAAUUCAAAAUUGGUAAUAAUAUUUAACAUUUUACCAAAAAAGAAGAAGUUUGAGUUGUAAAAUACCAGUUUGGCAAUCUACCGUUAAACACAAUAUCUCCUUCUCUCUCCUCCCUCUGGUUUCUCCGCCUUCUCUCCUCCUAUUUGCAGUCUGAGUUUCUCCGAUGACCGGUGCGUGGCGGUUUCGUUAACGCCAGCGCCGGUCCCAAUCUGCUUAGUUUUCCUUCUAGUUUAACAUAUGUUCGGCGUGUAAUGACUGGAAUCUAUAUUGAUGGAGAUUUUGGUUGGAAAAGCUUGGCUUUCUUUCUCAGAUCUAUGUUAGAUUUCUGAAGUGAAAAUACCUGAUCGUUAGAUUAAUGGUUUGUUUUUUCAUUCCUUUCUCUAUCUUGUUACUGGUGGGAUUUUGGGUGGGCUUGUUCACUUUUUUGGAAGCUGCUGUGGAUUCUUUCCGGUUCUGUAGUGAGCCAGUCAUGUGGGAUUGGUGUCUCUGAGUUUGUUUAGGCUUGGCUCCUUGUUUCUCUGUCAGAUUCAGGUGUGAUCUGGUUUCUUCAAAAGCUCCAUCACUAGGCAUUCAACGGCCGUGCUUGCUCUGCCGUUUCCGAGAGUGUGUGAUGAAUCUGUUGAUUCCAACUUGUCGAAAGGUGGAGUUUGGUUAUUUGGUCAUGAGGUAUUCCCUCGUUGUUCAAGGAGGAAGUGACUUAUUGGUUGUUUGGCUGUGGGCAAUCUCUAUAAAUAUCUUUCAUGGAGUUCUGAAUCUGUUGUUUCAUGUUCGUUUGGAGUCUUCGCCGGUGAAUUUUGUUUUCAGUUGUCUUUAUCUUUUUUUUUUACUGUUAUGUGUUUGUGUUUGUUGGGAUCCCUUGUAUAGGCUUAGUUUCCAGGGUCGGUUCUGUGUGAUCGCUGGCUUGUGUACCAGAUGUAAUCUUUUCGUUGUAAGAACACUAUCUUGUAAUCCUUUGUGUUUUUUUUUUAUUAAUAAAAUCAGGUGAAAAAGGGUUGUAAAAUAUAAAGUAUUAACUAGAUUUUCACCGGAAUAUUUUUUUGGUAAAUUUUUUAUAUAAACG
rnacentral:lncRNA from 1 species